GUCCAGGGAUGGGAAACGAACCCACAGUGUUCCGCUUACCGGGCAGAUGCCAUAUCCACUAGGCUACCCUGGA
rnacentral:tRNA from 1 species